GGAAUUGUUCGCAAUGGGCGCAAGCCUGACGACGCACCGCCGCGUGGGGGAUGAAGGUCCUCGGAUUGUAAACCCCUGUCGAGCGGGACGAACGGCCCGCGCCCUAACCCGUCGUGGGCGUGACGGUACCGCGAACGGAAGCCCCGGCUAACUCUGUUCCAGCAGCCGCGGUAAUACAGAGGUGGCAAGCGUUGUUCGGAAUUACUGGGCGUAAAGGGCGCGUAGGCGGCUGUCUAAGUCAGACGUGAAAUCCCCCGGCUCAACCUGGGAACUGCGUCUGAUACUGGGCGGCUUGAAUGCGGGAGAGGGAUGUAGAAUUCCAGGUGUAGCGGUGAAAUGCGUAGAUAUCUGGAGGAAUACCGGUGGCGAAGGCGGCAUCCUGGACCGACAUUGACGCUGAGGCGCGAAAGCUAGGGUAGCAAAC
rnacentral:rRNA from 1 species